AGAAUCAACGCUGGCGGCGUGCCUAACACAUGCAAGUCGAACGAGAAAGGGACUUCGGUCCUGAGUACAGUGGCGCACGGGUGAGUAACACGUGACUAACCUACCCUGGAGUGGGGAAUAACUGAGGGAAAACCUUAGCUAAUACCGCAUAAUACCUACGGGUCAAAGGAGCAAUUCGCUUCAGGAGGGGGUCGCGGCCGAUUAGCUAGUUGGCGGGGUAAUGGCCCACCAAGGCGAAGAUCGGUAGCCGGCCUGAGAGGGGCGCGACGGACCGACGACCUGGAACUGAAACACGGUCCAGACUCCUACGGGAGGCAGCAGUGGGGAAUUUUGCGCAAUGGGGAAACCCUGACGCAGCAACGCCGCGUGGAGGAUGAAGUCCCUUGGGACGUAAACUCCUUUCGACCAAGACGAUAAUGACGGUACUGGUGGAAGAAGCACCGGCUAACUCUGUGCCAGCAGCCGC
rnacentral:rRNA from 1 species